AUUGAACGCUGGCGGCAGGCCUAACACAUGCAAGUCGAGCGGCAGCGGGACCUUCGGGUUGCCGGCGAGCGGCGGACGGGUGAGUAAUGCCUAGGAAUCUGCCUGUUAGUGGGGGAUAACGCGGGGAAACUCGCGCUAAUACCGCAUACGUCCUACGGGAGAAAGCGGGGGCUCUUCGGACCUCGCGCUAACAGAUGAGCCUAGGUCGGAUAAACUGGUUGGUGGGGUAAUGGCCCACCAAGGCGACGAUCCGUAACAGGUCUGAGCGGAUGAUCAGUCACACUGGAACUGAGACACGGUCCAGAGUCCUACGGGAGGCAGCAGUGGGGAAUAUUGGACAAUGGGCGAAAGCCUGAUCCAGCCAUGCCGCGUGUGUGAAGAAGGUCUUCGGAUUGUAAAGCACUUUAAGUCGGGAGGAAGGGCUGUAGGCUAAUACCUUGCAGUUUUGACGUUACCGACAGAAUAAGCACCGGCUAACUUCGUGCCAGCAGCCGCCGUAA
rnacentral:rRNA from 1 species